AAACUGCGAUAAGUAGUGUGAAUUGCAUUUAGUGAAUCAUCGAAUCUUUGAACGCACCCUGCACUCACUGGUAUUCCGGUGAGUACGCCUGUUUCAGUAUCAUUGAAAACACACAAUCAAAACAUUUUCUUUGGUUUGAUUGGCUUUGGGUCUAUCAAAAAGUUUGGCUUGUUUCUUACAAGCCAAGCGGCCUGAAAUAUAUUGUCUGGCUAAUUGCAUCGUUGAUGAUCGCUAUUAGACUUUGGCUUUUUUAAAUGAACUGGAGGUUGAUUAACCAGUUUUAGCUUUAGUCAAAUGGUCAUUGUAAAAAAAAAUCUCGAUCUUGGCUAGGUGUUUAUAGCCGAAAAUUUUUUUUUGGCUAUAACCGAAACCAAUAUAAUCACAUUUAGUUAUCGAUCUGAAAUCAGGUGGGACUACCCGCUGAACUUAAGC
rnacentral:misc_RNA from 1 species